CUCGGCCUCCCAAAGUGCUGGGAUUACAGGCGUGAGCCAUUGUGGCAAGCCUGUCUUUUUAUUCUUUGUUGCUGAAUCUUCUUGAGAUUACAUUAGCUUCUUGGCGUUAAUUUUGUUAUCCUAUUCAUAGGUGGUAAUGAUAAAUACAUCUAUUAAAUAACUUAAAGGGUGCAUUUGUUUAUCUUUCAUGUUGAGUGACAUCGAGUAAACAUCUCCUACAAAGAUAAAACUUGUAGGUUUUUUCUGAAGGAAGUAGCUGUUGUGAAGCAAACAUAGUGAAUUUCUAAUAGAAAUUAGAAUUUUUUAAAUACUUAUAAACACUCCUUGCAAGCAUCUUCCCUGCUUACAGAUCAAUGUCUUUUUUUCUUCAAGGGACAUGGCUUGCAGUGUGGCAGGCAUAACUUCUGAUGCUAAUGUUCUGACUAAUGAACUAAGGCUCAUUGCUCAAAGGUAUUUAUUACAGUAUCAGGAGCCAAUACCUUGUGAGCAGUUGGUUACAGCGCUGUGUGAUAUCAAACAAGCUUAUACACAAUUUGGAGGAAAACGUCCCUUUGGUGUUUCAUUGCUGUACAUUGGCUGGGAU
rnacentral:lncRNA from 10 species